rnacentral:rRNA from 1 species
UACGGAGGGAGCUAGCGUUGUUCGGAAUUACUGGGCGUAAAGCGCACGUAGGCGGCUUUGUAAGUCAGAGGUGAAAGCCUGGAGCUCAACUCCAGAACUGCCUUUGAGACUGCAUCGCUUGAAUCCGGGAGAGGUGAGUGGAAUUCCGAGUGUAGAGGUGAAAUUCGUAGAUAUUCGGAAGAACACCAGUGGCGAAGGCGGCUCACUGGACCGGUAUUGACGCUGAGGUGCGAAAGUGUGGGGAGCGAACCGG